rnacentral:misc_RNA from 1 species
GCAAACUUGGUCAUUUAGAGGAAGUAAAAGUCGUAACAAGGUAACCGUAGGUGAACCUGCGGUUGGAUCAUUAGUAAACCAAUUGUUUGGAAGGUGGUCAAACACCUUUUCCGAAACCAUCCUGUGCACCGUAGCCUUUUUUUUUUCGGAUGGGUCCUCGACCCACCCGGAUCAAUGUUUCCACGUUUUCGAAUUGCCUUUGAGUUUCUGAUGACUUGUUGCAAGUUUUGAAUUGCAAAUUCCAACGAACAACUUUUGGCAACGGAUCUCUUGGCUCUCGCAUCGAUGAAGAACGCAGC